CAAAAGUGCAACAUGCGAUACGGACACGGUGGGCGGUGGGCAUCGAUCAACUGGCCGUAGGUGCAUCUGGGCUGGAAUUACCCCACAGUGCAGUGCUAAGCAGUGGUGAUGGAGGAUAUUGGGGGAUGGAAGAUAUUGGGGGAUGGAGGGAGAGGACUAGACCUCUCAGUAACAGUGCAAGCAGUACAUGCAAUACAAGUAACACCCACCAACACACGGACCAGACGAGACCAACCAACUGCACAGCCCUACCAGGAAACGGCAGAGCUUGUGGACACAACAGACUGCGACAAGGGACCCGCUUUGCCAGUGUUAUGCAGGAACCAUACUCUUUUCCUUUUUUCGGACAGCCGGCACACGAGCUUGACGAUCAAACCAUAUCGGCCGAGUGCGACGUAUCCUUGCAUUUUUUGCAUGUUGGCAUGGGGCUGGCGUGUGAAGGAGCAUGUGCAAAGGGCCGCGCAGACUUGUGGAGUGCUGCCGUACGAGUAUCGGUGUACGACAAGGUGGUUUGUACAAGGUGGUUUGUACCGUCGGACAUGAUCAUCUGUACCUUGGCGUACUGUACUUGUACAACCACUUGGUGAUCAGAUAUAACCUAACAGACUAAUCGACCGAGGCAUUCAUACUCACCCGAACCAGCCUAAACGAGAUAACCCCCACAGUUGGCCGUUAGGUUAGAGUCUUGUUCGGUUCUUGGGUUCUUCAGCUUUUGUUUUUCCGCUGCCCGUCAUUGUCUUCUCUUUCUUUGUGCUCCAAACCUUUCGCCAGGGCCUGGACGGAUGCCGUAUUCAAACAGGUUCAUGUAUGGAAAUGACUUUGGAUACGGCCUUGGAUACGACCUUGGAUACGACCUUGGAUACGACGUCGGCUGCGAUUACGUGCAGAGGGAGAGCUACAUGUUCCAUGUGCGAUGCCGUGUGAGAGGUCUGAGGACUCACUCUGAUGGACAUGUCUCAGAUAUGAGUUGGUUAUGAUAAUUUGGUACUGGCCAAGACCCUGGUCUGGCCAGCUAUACCUUCUACCUAUACAUAUCUUGCGUCAGCAAUAGCUGCAAUAGAGGACAAGAUCUACGGCAUAUUCACCGAUGCGACGGUACAAGUUUGGCGCCAUUCAGAGUUGGACUUGUCGUUAGUCUGGUUUGGUCGUGUGCCGUCUAUUCUAAUGUCUCACAGGUGGCUGAUAAAGCCUCUUAUCGAUCUAAUCUAGAUGGUGUGUGACUGGAGAGAAAUGACGAGAGGAUAUUCAAGGGGGCGGACGAUUGAUGAAUACCAACUUGAGCUCGCAGAUUCAACGCAGCCAGCACUUGGGUCGCAGCGACGACGCAGAGCUCUUACUAGAAGGGUCUCAAGCCACCUUUAAUUAGGGUGAGACAGAACUAUGAUAACAGGAUAGUUGCAGAAGCAAAGGGCCACACAACCUCUGCUGGAUAGAGUCACGUAUUGAAUCGUGCGAGCAAUCUUCGGUCCGAUUUUGGGUGUGUCCUUGGAUACUUGGUUUCUGGAUUCUGUGUUUGAGGGGCCCUAUGGCAAGUCUACGGAAGGGUCUAGCCGUGGAAUCCAUGGUUCCUGUGCAAGACCUUUCUUGUGGUCAAUAGUGCGAUAAUGGGGUAAGCAUCAAUAUCAGGGCAUCAACGCCAAACUUGUCCAAGAAGUCUGCCAGGGUCAAAAGAGGUGUUUGUAUAGGAAGAUUGAGAGAAGAGCUGUGCUAGUAUGGGACAGAGCUGUGAUAGUAUGGGACAGAGCUGUGAUAGUAUGGGGUUUGUAGAAGCAACUUCUCAAGUCGCCAGUUCGACUCGCUCGAUAUUGAGCGAUUUAUGGACCCACCAUGGUAGCUUUAACCAUGACCCUAUUAUUGAGGGGACUGGCCGGUUCUAAGACCAAAGAACAGGAACUGGAUAUAAUAGUGGUAUCAUUAUGACAAGUCAAACGUAUCCGUCGUUGGCGUGCUAGACAUUACACUCCAGUUUCAACGUGUUGAGGUUGAAACUGGAGUUACUUCUUACUUCCGGCAACUGUACCCAAGUGAGGAUAGAAUUCUCACGUGAGCUUACUUGACUGAUGCUCUUGCAGAUUAUGUCUUAUCGGAGGCCCUGCACUUUUGGUGUUUCAAGAAGCUUCACAGGUCUCAGUGUAUCAUGUCUGAAGACUGUCUGUUUUAGAUCAAAC
rnacentral:misc_RNA from 1 species